GGUUGUAUAGUGUAGUGGCUAGCACUCGGGAUUCUGAGCUCUUUGGAAAAUUCCCGCAACCCCGGUUCGAUCCCGGGUACGACCU